UGGGGAAUAUUGGACAAUGGGCGCAAGCCUGAUCCAGCGACGCCGCGUGUGUGAAGAAGGCCUGCGGGUUGUAAAGCACUUUCGAUGGGAACGAAAUGUGCCGGGUUAAUACCCCGGUAAGCUGACGUUACUCAAUGAAGAAGCACCGGUUAACUCUGUGCCAGCAGCCGCGGUAAUACGUAGGGACCAAGCGUUGUUCGGAUUUACUGGGCGUAAAGGGCGCGUAGGCGGCAAUUCAAGUCAUCUGUGAAAUCUCCGGGCUUAACUCGGAACGGUCAGAUGAUACUGCUUUGCUAGAGUGCAGAAGGGGCAAUCGGAAUUCUUGGUGUAGCGGUGAAAUGCGUAGAUAUCAAGAGGAACACCUGAGGUGAAGACGGGUUGCUGGGCUGACACUGACGCUGAGGCGCGAAAGCCAGGGGAGCAAACGGGAUUAGAUACCCUUGUAGUCCCUGAGCGGGCUGGCAAGGCGCAU
rnacentral:rRNA from 1 species